GGGAGAAGUGGGGAGAAGGGAACAAGGCAGGAGCUGCUUCUUUGGGAGAGAGCUGGAAAGGAAGAAGCUCAGACUGAAAGGGGAAGGAAGAUCUGCCUGCCUCAGUGGUGGAUGGGGGAGGGAGUGGUUUCAGAGCAGCUGUAGUGGCAGGCACCUGGAAACCUGAGCUAAAUUUGCCAGCUGGUGCCAGUCUAUGUUGGGACCACUGAUCACACAUCCCAGGCACAGCAGACAUGGACGGACUGACACCUCCGGGUUCCAAGUACCCAAUGGCAGCACAGAGCCAAGCAGUAUCCGGGAGUGUGAUUUGCAACCCUCCUGGUUCUCAGCUGAAGCUAGAUCCUAGUUCCCAGCCAGACAGCUGAGCUGGUGAGAAACAGCCCACAAGUGUCUAUUGAAAUGCAAAUGCACCUCGAGCCAGGGGUCUUUGGAAACCUGUCAGCUAGGGGGACUUACAGCUUGGAUACUUAAAGGAAGCAAUGACCUGAAUUCUACCUGACAGCUUACUGAAGCUGACCAACAUACUGGAACAAGUGGAGUAUGCAUUACAGAAACAGCAGGUACAUUAGAUUAAUUAUGAUAAACCUUGGCAAGCAUGUAUAUUACCUACAAAACUUACUCCCACGGUGGUUUCAUGGCAAAACAGUUCGUUUAUGUGGCUACAACUUCCUGUCUUACCAGUCAAGGUAUUAAACCCUUAUUUUGAAGCAUUAGCUUGUUUAGUAUGGAAGAGCAGAAUGGAAUCUAGGCGAUAUUUUGGCAGGGAACCUAAAGUGAUCUACGCUCCUUAUAUUAAGCAACAGAUUGAUUAGUUAUUUCAAAAUAGUGAUUGUUGGGCAAUUGUGCUUGUUCAAUUUCAAGACCAGAUUAAUAAUCUUUCCCCAGAUGAUCGGAUGCUAUAAUUCACACAACUAUAUUCUUUUAUUUCCCACUACAGGUUGCUUUGUCAAUUUUUACAGAUGGUUCUUCCAGUGGAGGAGCAGUAUGUGUUGUUGGUGGUAAAGGACAUAUAGUGUGAACUGAACUGGCCUCAGUUGAAACAGUUGAGCUGUUGUAUAGUAUUCCAAGUUUGGUUUUUUUUUUGCAAAUAAUGCAUUUAAUUUAUCUACUGACUGCCAUUACAUUUUUAAAACCCUUCAGAUACUGGAAACUGUCCCAUGCCUUGGGACUAGCAAUAAGCAAGUUAAAAUGCUGUUCCAGCAAAUUCAAGAUGCCAUUUAUCAAAGGAAAUUGCCAUGCUUUGUGGGUCAUAUCAGAGUACAUUCUUCCUGGUCCAUUGGCUGAAGGUAAUACUCUAACCGAUAAGUUUACAAAGUUUAUUGCUUUAUUUCAAGUUGAGCUUGAUCAAUGAUCACAUGCUUUACAUCAUCAUUGUUUAAGGAAACAAUUUGGGUUAACAGGAGACAUUGCUCACCAGAUUGUCAAGCAGUGUGAUGUAUAUCCACAAUACUUACCUGUACUUUAUCUGGGAGUAAAUCAUCAAGGCCUGCCUCCUAAUCAAUUAUGGAACAUGGAUGCUUCUCAUAUCGUGUGUAUGUGACAACUGAUGCAUAUACAUGUUUCUUAAUAGCCUCUGCACAGACUGGAGAAGCCACUAACAUGUGAUAACUCAUUGCUUAAAGUGCUCUUCCUAUAUGGGAAUCCCUAAAAUUAUAAAGACAGACAAUGGCUCCAGAUAUAUUAGUAAAACCUUUCAGCAGUUUUGUUCUCAAUGGAAUAUCAAACACAAAACUGGCAUUUCUUAUAAUCCUCAGGGACAAGAAACUGUGGAGCAUGCCCAUGGCUCCCUGAAACCACAACUUCAAAAGAUAAAAAAUGGGGGAAUUGUGCUCUCAGUCACCACAUAACACCUCAAAUCAUGCCCCUUUUUACUCUAAAUUUCUUGAAUAUGGAUGCCCACGAGCAAUCUGCUGUAAAAAGAUUUUGGCAUGAUGGCAUCAAGGUGACCUUCACUAAAGCAGGGUGGAAAGACCCUUGCACUGGAUUAUGAACAGGACCCCAGCCUGUAUUAAUAUGGGCUUGAGGAUAUAUCUGUAUUUGUUCACAGAAAGACGGUGAAGUGCAAUGGCUUCCAGAAAGUCUGGUCUGAUGUGUACAGCAGAAGGAUGACAAUCCUGAUGCAUCAUGGUCACCAGUGUCCCCACAGCAGAGUCAGAGUGAGGUUCCUGAACCUGUGUUCCUGACUUUCUUACAACAUCAUGCUGCAGUAUGAGAAGAAAAAGAAGAUUGUGGUGGCAAUUGGUGACUCCUAGAUUCUUGGUGAACUUACUGCACAAAUUUCUAUACCUCAGUGUGUUCUGUUUAUUUUGGAGUCAGUCCAAGAACACUGACUGAAUGCUUGACAGUUUAUCCACACUAUAUCUUGGGAUACAGAACUCAUUUUUGCCAGUAUGGUAUUCAAUCUGCUGUUGAAAUAAAGGACCUGAGAACCGAGACCUCAGAAAAUUUUCCCCUCUAAGGGAAAGAGACUUGUUAAAGCAAUGGAACACUAUUAUGGAGGCAAAGAGUGACUCUGCCCCUUGUGAGAGAUGAAGAGGGGGGCCAUAAAGGCUUUUACUGCUGCUCAGAGACUGGGACAGUUGAGACUUGUCUUUGAAACGUAGAAGCAGCAAUGAAGAUGGACUACAGGAGAGAGAAAAGACGCAAAGCUCACCCUCACAGAAACCUUUUCUUGUCUUUUGAAUAGAAUGGAUUUAAAAGAAUUGUGAUUUGACAAAUUGACAAAUUGAGUGCUAGAAUUAUGGUAUCGACCUGUUAAGGUUUGUAGUUCAUUAUGAAGAAAAUGUAGUUCAUUAUUAGAAAAAGAUUAGAGCUUGUCUGAGAAAAAAUUGACAUGACAAGCCCUUAGAAGGCAAUCUCACCUCUGGUCACUCUUCAUCCCAUUAUUAGGAAAUAUUGUAGCCAUAGGAGUAUAUGUAUCACAAAGCAGUAUCUGCUUGCAUAUGUUUAACUCUCUUGACAGAAAAUUGACUUAAAGGUUCACAGUGCCUAGUGAUACUUUCUCCCUUAACCCUUUAUUUACAGAGGUUGAUAGUGAGAGAUGGGUAAGACCUUCCCUGCACCCACCCAGGCAAUCCAAAACUGGACAUACAUGAUGGAAUGUAUGUACUGAUGACAGCACCUACCCUGGAAUGUAUGAGUUCAUCGAAGUUGGUAUUUGACAACCUUGCAAUAAACACCUGCAGCCCUGAAGUUAGGAAGAAUGACAGACAACUUUAGUCUCCAUCAUUGCUGUUGACUGUCCAAUAGGGUGGAGUAGACAUCUUCCCUUCUAGAACAAUGUCCAUCUCAGCCUUUGCCUGCACAGCACAAGGCAAUGGAAACAGUGAUUCUGUUCCAGCAGACUCAAAGACCUUGGCUGCUGGCUCUUCACCCUUCACACUGACUUGAAGUUGCCCCAUCACUCCACUGGGCAACAGUGGCCCACCCUGGAUGUUACUCAGAUUGGUUCCAUCCCUCGGCCAUGUUUUCCUCAGUUAUCCAGCUUCCCAAGUCUCUACUUCCUAUUAGUACCUUUGCAUGAACCACCUAUCCUUUGGUAUAUGUGAGAGGGGUCAUUGGCUGACACAUUUGAGCAACCCCAGCUAUUUCUACUGUUUCAUAUGUGUUGGGGGGAGUUCCCGGCUACUAGAAUGAGGAGUUACAAAGAGGUUUGUUUUGUUUUGUCUUUUAACAGCUUGUAACUGAUCAUCAGACCCUUUAAUAAGAAUUUUCAGGUGUUUCUGCUAUUAAUGUCCAAACAUUGCUGAUUCCUGGGCUGUUUGCCAGCUCAACAUCUCAGGCUUCCUUCCCCUUUCUGCACCACUAUGAAUUUCAUCAGUGGUGUCCCCUUUUCUCUAAUUUGUAUAAAUAAAGUCUCUCUGGGUGGUGAUGAA